rnacentral:rRNA from 1 species
GGACGAACGCUGGCGGCGUGCCUAAUACAUGCAAGUCGAGCGGACCGACGGGAGCUUGCUCCCUUAGGUCAGCGGCGGACGGGUGAGUAACACGUGGGUAACCUGCCUGUAAGACUGGGAUAACUCCGGGAAACCGGGGCUAAUACCGGAUGCUUGAUUGAACCGCAUGGUUCAAUCAUAAAAGGUGGCUUUUAGCUACCACUUACAGAUGGACCCGCGGCGCAUUAGCUAGUUGGUGAGGUAACGGCUCACCAAGGCGACGAUGCGUAGCCGACCUGAGAGGGUGAUCGGCCACACUGGGACUGGGACACGGCCCAGACUCCUACGGGAGGCAGCAGUAGGGAAUCUUCCGCAAUGGACGAAAGUCUGACGGAGCAACGCCGCGUGAGUGAUGAAGGUUUUCGGAUCGUAAAACUCUGUUGUUAGGGAAGAACAAGUACCGUUCGAAUAGGGCGGCACCUUGACGGUACCUAACCAGAAAGCCACGGCUAACUACGUGCCAGCAGCCGCGGUAAUACGUAGGUGGCAAGCGUUGUCCGGAAUUAUUGGGCGUAAAGCGCGCGCAGGCGGUUUCUUAAGUCUGAUGUGAAAGCCCCCGGCUCAACCGGGGAGGGUCAUUGGAAACUGGGGAACUUGAGUGCAGAAGAGGAGAGUGGAAUUCCACGUGUAGCGGUGAAAUGCGUAGAGAUGUGGAGGAACACCAGUGGCGAAGGCGACUCUCUGGUCUGUAACUGACGCUGAGGCGCGAAAGCGUGGGGAGCGAACAGGAUUAGAUACCCUGGUAGUCCACGCCGUAAACGAUGAGUGCUAAGUGUUAGAGGGUUUCCGCCCUUUAGUGCUGCAGCAAACGCAUUAAGCACUCCGCCUGGGGAGUACGGUCGCAAGACUGAAACUCAAAGGAAUUGACGGGGGCCCGCACAAGCGGUGGAGCAUGUGGUUUAAUUCGAAGCAACGCGAAGAACCUUACCAGGUCUUGACAUCCUCUGACAACCCUAGAGAUAGGGCUUUCCCCUUCGGGGGCAGAGUGACAGGUGGUGCAUGGUUGUCGUCAGCUCGUGUCGUGAGAUGUUGGGUUAAGUCCCGCAACGAGCGCAACCCUUGAUCUUAGUUGCCAGCAUUCAGUUGGGCACUCUAAGGUGACUGCCGGUGAUAAACCGGAGGAAGGUGGGGAUGACGUCAAAUCAUCAUGCCCCUUAUGACCUGGGCUACACACGUGCUACAAUGGGCAGAACAAAGGGCAGCGAAGCCGCGAGGCUAAGCCAAUCCCACAAAUCUGUUCUCAGUUCGGAUCGCAGUCUGCAACUCGACUGCGUGAAGCUGGAAUCGCUAGUAAUCGCGGAUCAGCAUGCCGCGGUGAAUACGUUCCC